UGUGUGUGUGUGUGUGUGUGUGUCUGUGUGUGUGUGUGUGUGUGUGUGUGUGUAGAAACACACACACACACACACACACACACACACACACACACACACACACACACAGACAAAUAUAUAUAAAUAUAUAUAUAUAUAUAUAUAUAUAUAUAUAUAUAUAUAUGUGUGUGUGUAUAUAUAUACACACGC